CGUGUAGGCGGCUUCGUGUGUCCCAUGUGAAAGCCCUCGGCUCAACCGGGGAACUGCAUGGGAAACUGCGGAGCUUGAGUCCGGGAGAGGAGAGCGGAAUUCCCAGUGUAGCGGUGAAAUGCGUAGAUAUUGGGAGGAACACCGGUGGCGAAGGCGGCUCUCUGGACCGGUACUGACGCUGAGACGCGAAAGCCGAGGGGAGCGAAACG
rnacentral:rRNA from 1 species